rnacentral:rRNA from 1 species
GACGAACGCUGGCGGCGUGCUUAACACAUGCAAGUCGAACGGUAAGGCCCUUCGGGGUACACGAGUGGCGAACGGGUGAGCAACACGUGGGUGAUCUGCCCUGCACUUCGGGAUAAGCCUGGGAAACUGGGUCUAAUACCGGAUAGGACUCCGGACUGCAUGGUCUGGGGUGGAAAGCUUUUGCGGUGUGGGAUGGGCCCGCGGCCUAUUCAGCUUGUUGGUGGGGUGAUGGCCUACCAAGGCGACGACGGGUAGCCGGCCUGAGAGGGUGACCGGCCACACUGGGACUGAGAUACGGCCCAGACUCCUACGGGAGGCAGCAGUGGGGAAUAUUGCACAAUGGGCGCAAGCCUGAUUCAGCGACGCCGCGUGAGGGAUGACGGCCUUCGGGUUGUAAACCUCUUUCAGCAUCGACGAAGCGAAAGUGACGGUAGGUGCAGAAGAAGGACCGGCCAACUACGUGCCAGCAGCCGCCGUAA